rnacentral:rRNA from 1 species
GAUGACCGCUGGCGGCGUGCCUAAUACAUGCAAGUCGAGCGAACGGACGAGACGCUUGCUUUUCUGAUGUUAGCGGCGGACGGGUGGGUAACACGUGGAUCACCUCCCUAUAAGACUGGGAUAACUUCGGGAAACCGGAGCUAAUACCGGAUAAUAUUUUGAACCGCAUGGUUCAUAAGUGUAUGACGGUCUUGCUGUCACUUAUAGAUGGAUCCGCGCUGCAUUAGCUAGUUGGUAAGGUAACGGCUUACCAAGGCAACGAUGCAUAGCCGACCUGAGAGGGUGGUCGGCCACACUAGAACUGAGACACGGGCCAAACGCCUACGGAAGGCAGCAGUAGGGAAUCUUCCGCGAUGAGCGAAAGCCUGACGGAGCAACGCCGCGUGGGUGAUGAAGGUCUUCGGAGCGUAAAACUCUGUUAUUAGGGAAGAACAGAUGGGUAAGUAACUGUGCACAUCUUGACGGUACCUAAGCAGAAAGCCACGGCUAACUACGUG